rnacentral:rRNA from 1 species
UCGGUUCGGCCGGAUUUCACACAGGUGUUGCAUGGCUGUCGUCAGCUCGUGUCGUGAGAUGUUGGGUUAAGUCCCGCAACGAGCGUAACCCUCAUUCUUAGUUGCCAUCAGGUAAUGCUGGGGACUUUAAGGAAACUGCCAGUGAUAAACUGGAGGAAGGUGGGGAUGAUGUCAAGUCAUCAUGGCCCUUAUGGAGUGGGCUACACACGUGCUACAAUGGUGGCUACAAUGGGCUGCAAAGUCGCGAGGCCAAGCUAAUCCCUUAAAAGCCAUCUCAGUUCGGAUUGUACUCUGCAACUCGAGUGCAUGAAGUUGGAAUCGCUAGUAAUCGUGGAUCAGCACGCCACGGUGAAUACGUUCUCGGGUCUUGUACACACUGCCCGUCACGCC